UACGUAGGGUGCGAGCGUUGUCCGGAAUUACUGGGCGUAAAGAGCUCGUAGGUGGUUUGUCGCGUUGUUCGUGAAAUCUCACGGCUUAACUGUGAGCGUGCGGGCGAUACGGGCAGACUAGAGUACUGCAGGGGAGAUUGGAAUUCCCGGUGUAGAGGUGAAAUUCGUAGAUAUCGGGAGGAACACCGGUGGCGAAGGCGGCGAUCUGGGUAGAUACUGACGCUGAGGUGCGAAAGCGUGGGGAGCAAACAGG
rnacentral:rRNA from 1 species